rnacentral:rRNA from 1 species
AGAGUUUGAUCCUGGCUCAGGACGAACGCUGGCGGCGUGCCUAACACAUGCAAGUCGAGCGGAGACAGUGAGUAGCUUGCUACGAACUGUUUUAGCGGCGGACGGGUGAGUAACGCGUGAGCAACCUUUCCCAGACAGGGGAAUAACACACCGAAAGGUGUACUAAUACCGCAUAAGACCACGGGAUCACAUGGUUCUGAGGUAAAAGAUUUAUCGGUUUGGGGUGGGCUCGCGUCCGAUUAGGUAGUUGGUGAGGUAACGGCCCACCAAGCCGACGAUCGGUAGCCGACCUGAGAGGGUGAUCGGCCACAUUGGGACUGAGACACGGCCCAAACUCCUACGGGAGGCAGCAGUGGGGAAUAUUGGGCAAUGGAGGAAACUCUGACCCAGCAACGCCGCGUGGAGGAAGAAGGUUUUCGGAUCGUAAACUCCUGUCCUUGGAGACGAGUAGAAGACGGUAUCCAAGGAGGAAGCCCCGGCUAACUACGUGCCAGCAGCCGCGGUAAUACGUAGGGGGCAAGCGUUGUCCGGAAUAAUUGGGCGUAAAGGGCGCGUAGGCGGCUCGGUAAGUCUGGAGUGAAAGUCCUGCUUUUAAGGUGGGAAUUGCUUUGGAUACUGUCGGGCUUGAGUGCAGGAGAGGUUAGUGGAAUUCCCAGUGUAGCGGUGAAAUGCGUAGAGAUUGGGAGGAACACCAGUGGCGAAGGCGACUAACUGGACUGUAACUGACGCUGAGGCGCGAAAGUGUGGGGAGCAAACAGGAUUAGAUACCCUGGUAGUCCACACUGUAAACG